CUAAAAACAAAUCAUUAAGUAUUAUCUAAAGUCAAAUUGCACCAACUGUCUGACUGAGGCUGGUCCAAGUCUGGCCUUAUCAGCAUUCAGCACCACUGCCCCAGGAUGGAUGAGGAAACAGAACACCACUAAAGGGUAAGCCAGAGACAGAGGGCCCCUGUUCUUGUUUGUUCUGCAAAGCCCUUUAUGUUCUUCUGGAAGAUAGAAAAAGAUAUAUCUGACUGAGAAACAGAACUUUUCACUAUCUUUGAUCAACUGGCUAGAAGAUGUCUCUUUUUCUCUCACUUCUGCUCUUUGCAGGCACUGCAGGAACUCACAUCUCCUGGCAUUGGGAUUGGCAUGGUGUUCAAGGCUGCUCGUCUGCAGACCUUUCUGUGGAUGGAAGGCACCUGGCAGCUGGCUCUCGAGACUGCCAUCCACAGACCAGCCGGAGCACGUGCACAUACCUGCCUUCAGCCGGACCAACACCAGACGAGUCAUCUGGUGCCAAAGAAGGUUUCUUCAGGAUCAGAAUAACUAAAACUUCCUUAACAUAUGCAGGAGUCCUUCCAGAUUGCAAAAUGAAAAUCACUGCCCGGAAUCACUGCAUUCAAAGAGCUGUAUAGUUAAGCCAAAAACAGCCUUGGGUCAACUCCUGCCCUGGUUCUGUGCAGAAGUCCCACUAUAUCCCAAAGACUCAGCGCACUUUAAAUAUACGUCAAAAGUAGCAUGUGCUGGCCAGGAGAUAUUUUACUAAGCGG
rnacentral:lncRNA from 1 species